rnacentral:tRNA from 1 species
AUUAACUUAGUUUAAAAUAAAACAAGAGCUUGUCGAGCUCUAAAUGCAACAGAGUUGCAGUUAAUG